AUCAACAUGUCAGAUGUUGCUUCUUUGGUUGUGUAUCCUUUUAAUGAAGGAAGAAGAGGUAGAGAAAAAAGAAAAUCCUUGAGGGACAAGCAGUAUUGAAGACCUAACAUUUCACAGCUGCUGUGAUGUUUGAAAAUUUAUGUGAAGUCUUUAUUUUGAUGCAACAAUUUAAUUGUGGCCUAGAGCUGAGAUUUGCAUCUCUAAGGCUAUUCAAUGUAGAGUUACAACGAUAAGGUUUUUUUUUUUUAAAGAAUGGAACUAUAAUAGCACUGAGCAAGAACAUUCCUUAAACUAUCAAUGGCCAGAAGUUUUGAAGAAUAUGUGGAAGACAGAAAGCAUCAGUUCAAUCAAUGGACUCAUGGAGAAAGCUCAGUAGGAAAUCAAAAUUCAGAGCAGCUUCAAGUCUGGGGGUCAAUAGAGAGCUAGAAUGAGCCACAGAGAAAUCAUCAAAGUUACUCAUUUUAUAGAACUGUGUUUCCAAUAACAUGGACAUUUGGUUGCCCCUCUGGGAGAAGGUGGGCAAAGAAUUCAAGAAGAAAUAAGACCGAAACCAAAGAACUUUUGAAUUUGUCAGCAUUACUCUGGUAAGAGUAAUGCAGUCCAGAAGCUUAAAGACAUUUUUGGAUGACUGGUUCAAAGAUAUUAGAUGAUGUUUA
rnacentral:lncRNA from 1 species